rnacentral:rRNA from 1 species
CACCGCGGUUACACGUGAGACUCAAGUUGACAACCUCCGGCGUAAAGAGUGGUUAAGAGUAACAAGAACUAAAGCCGAACAUCUCCCCAGCUGUUGCACGCUUACGAAGAAAUGAAGCCCCAUCACGAAAGUGGCUUUACUCCAUCCGAACCCACGAUAGCUAGAAAA